CGACCUUAGCAACAGCGAAUUGUCAGUAGUCAGCAGAGGUCAUAAUAAUCGAACGAGAAGAACGAUGAAGGAC
rnacentral:ncRNA from 1 species